rnacentral:tRNA from 1 species
GGUGAGAUGGCCGAGUGGUCUAAGGCGCUGUGUUUAGGCCGCAGUCAGUAAUGGCGUGGGUUCGAAUCCCACUCUCAUCA